CGGGGCGAGGGCACCUGCGGGGCGCGGGGCAGGGUGUCUCAGGUGUGCUGACCGUGCGGGACGCCAGGUUCCUAGCCCCGGGGAAGUAGUCGCCGGCUUAGGGGAGGGGAUGUCAUAGGACGGCGGGGCCGUGCGGUGUCUUCGCGUCCCUGGGCGAAGGUGACUGCAGCGCUGGACUCAGCAUAAUGUCCUCGGGUUUCAUCCAUGUUGCAGCAAGUGUCAGAAUCCCCUUCCUAAGGCUGAGUAAUCUUCCGCUUAACUUAAUCUUAUUUUAUUUAUAAAAGAAGAGGCCUGCAUCAAACUAGAAGCUUUACAACUCUUCCCCACAGACGGUUUGAGAAGCACGUCGAGAUGUGAUGUGUGUUCAGUUAAUGGGGAUGCGUUCCUUUCCCGCACCACCCACGUGGCCAGGGCUGGGUGCCCGGUCAGCCCCACAUGCGAAC